GUCAAUCCUUUGAGUUUCAGCCUUGCGGCCGUACUCCCCAGGCGGAAUGCUUAAUGCGUUAGCUGCAGCACUGAAGGGCGGAAACCCUCCAACACUUAGCAUUCAUCGUUUACGGUAUGGACUACCAGGGUAUCUAAUCCUGUUUGCUACCCAUACUUUCGAGCCUCAGCGUCAGUUACAGACCAGACAGCCGCCUUCGCCACUGGUGUUCUUCCAUAUAUCUACGCAUUUCACCGCUACACAUGGAGUUCCACUGUCCUCUUCUGCACUCAAGUUUCCCAGUUUCCGAUGCACUUCUUCGGUUGAGCCGAAGGCUUUCACAUCAGACUUAAAAAACCGCCUGCGCUCGCUUUACGCCCAAUAAAUCCGGACAACGCUUGCCACCUACGUAUUACCGCGGCUGCUGGCACGUAGUUAGCCGUGGCUUUCUGGUUAAAUACCGUCAAUACCUGAACAGUUACUCUCAGAUAUGUUCUUCUUUAACAACAGAGUUUUACGAGCCGAAACCCUUCUUCACUCACGCGGCGUUGCUCCAUCAGACUUUCGUCCAUUGUGGAAGAUUCCCUACUGCUGCCUCCCGUAGGAGUUUGGGCCGUGUCUCAGUCCCAAUGUGGCCGAUUACCCUCUCAGGUCGGCUACGUAUCAUUGCCAUGGUGAGCCGUUACCUCACCAUCUAGCUAAUACGCCGCGGGACCAUCCAAAAGUGAUAGCCGAAGCCAUCUUUCAAACUCGGACCAUGCGGUCCAAGUUGUUAUGCGGUAUUAGCAUCUGUUUCCAGGUGUUAUCCCCCGCUUCUGGGCAGGUUUCCCACGUGUUACUCACCAGUUCGCCACUCACUCAAAUGUAAUUCAUGAUGCAAGCACCAAUCAUUACCAGAGUUCGUUCGACUGCAGAG
rnacentral:rRNA from 1 species